GAGCUGAUGACAGAUUUUUGACGUUUUUUGAUAUGAUUUUUAACAUAAAAAAUAACUCAGAAUGAUAUAUAUAUGAAUUCUGGAAAGCGCCUAUUUUCCAAGUUAUGAUUUACAAACGCGGCUAUUUUGGCGAAUUUUACUGGGCGCAGCACCCUGGAGACCACUGAUGAUGAAGUCGAAAAUGACGUCAGCGACAGAACUCUUCCUCCUCACUCACUUGCUGAUGCCCGUGGUAUUGAUGGGACAGGAGGUGGAGCUGUGCUCUGAACAUGUCAAUUUUGGAUAAUUUCGGUACUUCCACAUUAAAAUAAUUACUUGGUUGUUCAGUUAAAUGUCAUACAAAUGUGUGCUACUGUCACCCGGAGUGCAGUAUUCAGGAGGGGGUCUCACAGUUAGACUGGUCUAUCAGGCUAAUCAUGUUGGUUUGCACAUCGGAUCCGUCGCCGGGGACAAGGCUACCUCUUCAAAGACCCGUCAAAUCAUGUUGUGAAACAAACGACGUGAAGGCCUACUUUAGAUUUACAAGGACUACAGAAGAAAUGGGAUCCCAAAUUGGAACUGGAAGCAGAUCAUGGUUCACACCAUGCAACCAAACACUUUCUGCACCGCUGAGCGAAAAAGAGAUGCAAUACUUCACACCCUGAAGAUGUACCUGGGGGGAAUUGCCAGAAGAUUUUUUUUUGUGUGGGGCGAAGAUGAAGCAUGGCAGGACUGAGUGUAGGCUAUGUAUACACUGCAGGCCCUGGGGGGAGCUUUUGGUUGUAUUCUUCAUGUAAGAGAUGUAUCUAAAGCUGUGAGACACUUGUUAUUAGAAUGUAAUAUUACUGAUAUUUGUGGUGUUAACUAAAUAGAUUGAUACAUUGACCAAAAAUGUUCUCCGUUUGCUUUUGUACAGUCUGAAUGAAUGUGUAUAAAUGGAGAAUAUGUUGUAGCAUAUGGAUAAGCAGGGGUUAGACAAUGAAACUGAAACACUUGGUUUCAGAUAAGCUUGGCUAUAGCAGCCGGCCAUGUAUAUUGACCCUGUGGAGCUCCUGACAGUCAGUUUUUCUCUUUUGUACACUGAUGUCACCCAUAAUCUUUUGUGCAUUGCAAUAUUGGGAGCGUAAUUGUGCAUUUACCCUGCAAAUAUAACCUUCACACUCUGCUCUUGCAAAGUACAAUUAAUGAAGAUUGGCCAGACUGACCCAAUUUAGCCAUGAAACCCUCCACAAUAAAAUGACAGGUGUUUCAGUUUCAUUGUCCAACCCCUGUAAAUGUUGUGCUAUACGUGGGUUUCCCAUUUGCAAAUAAUCCCUGGCUUCGCGCCACUGGCGGCGUACUCUACAACCCCCAAUUGUUGGAAACUGCUGUCACUCAAAAAACACGCUCACGUGGUUGGCUGCUUAGCAGCCUGCCCCUCCUCACAGUGGCAAUGUUUGUAAACGGGACACCUGUAUAGAACACAACUGUAAACAUUACAAAUAUUAUUGACUGACAUUGCUAGUAAAGGGAAAAAAAAACA